AUGACAUACUUAAAGCAACUCCUCAAGAAGUUAGAUUUGUACUGCCUACAAGAGCACUGGCUUUUUAAACCAGAACAGCACCUUUUACACGAUAUUGACACAAAUAUGAUUGUAACAGCCAAAAGCAUUGAUGACGAAAAUCCAGAGUUGAGUAUGAUUGCCCGUAGAGGCUAUGGCGGGGAAGCCAUACGAUGGAAAAAAGAAAUGGAUGACAAAAUAUCAGUAAUGGUUGAUGGGAGCAAUAGAAUCCAGGUUAUACAAAUGGAAACUGUCAACACACCCUUAUGUCUCAUUUAUGUCUACAUGCCCUCUGACAACAAAGAUAUGGAUAAUGAGUACAAAGAUACUCUUGCACAAAUAACAGAAAUAAUAAAAAAAAAAAUGCAGGAACACUCAUGAUAUUCUGCUAUACGGAGACUUGAACUGGUCUAUACAUCGAUCAAAAACAUCUCAUGAUCCUUUAUUAAAGAAAUUCUUGGCAGAAAACUCACUGGAACUAAACCAAGAUUACCCAGAGAAAAAAAAACUUUUUCCAUCAUAACGGGAAAUCUCCUGGACAAAUUGAUUAUUUUUUCUCACCAAGUAAAGAACUAACACAAUAUGUACAGAUCUUAGAUAUGGUACAAAAAAACACAUCUGACCAUGUACCUGUCAUAGCUACUAUCAAGAGAAAACUAAUUAGGAAAUCCAACAAACCAAAAAUCAGUCAUUGUAAGAACAAAAUUGGAAAAAUGCAAUCUACAAAAAUAUCAACUGACUAUAUCUGAUGGAGUGGAAAAAACACAACCAGAUCGAGUGCACCCAUACCUGUUCAGACAUCAUUACCUGUACACAGACCAGGGAAAUGUUGAAAUAUUACGAAUGUGGAAAAUCAGGUCACUGGCGUAAAGAUCACGCUGCAAUGAAGCAGAGCUUUGAUAAGAUAAGUAUUGACUUAGAAUAUUUAUCAGAUUGUCAAGAUUUCGAAGAAUUCGGUAUUUCCGAUUCUGAAAAUAUAAAGAAUGAUUGUUUAAACAAGUCUAGUUUUCUAAACGAAAAAAACAUGUCGAUAAGUAAACAAGUAGAUAAUAGAUCGCCGAUAGGCGAGAUCUCACAAACAUGUUUAACCCCGCCGCAUUUAUGCGCCUGUCCCAAGUCAGGAGCCUCUGGCCUUUGUUAGUCUAGUAUUAUUUUAAUUUUAGUUUCUUGUGUACAAUUUGGAAAUUAGUAUGGCGUUCAUUAUCACUGGACUAGUAUAUAUUUGUUUAUGGGCCAGCUGAGGGACGCCUCCGGGUGCGGGAAUUUCUCGCUACAUUGAAGACCUGUUGGUGACCCUCUGCUGUUGUUUUUUAUUUGGUCGGGUUGUUGUCUCUUUGACACAUUCCCCAUUUCCAUUCUCAAUUUUAUUAAAAAGGCUUUUAACAGUAGCUAAAAAUAAGGAUAAGUUGAGAUUAGUUUUAGACGCCAGCCAUGUAAAUCCGCACUUGCAUAAAUUUAGAUUUAAGUAUGAAGAUGCAAGUGAUGCAGCAAAUUUGUUUAACAAGCAAGAUUAUCUGUUUUCAUAUGAUUUAAAAUCCGCAUACCAUCAUAUUGAGAUAUUUUCUAAACAUAAAACAUAUCUUGGAUUUGCGUGGGAAAUUUCAGGAAAGAUUUCUUAUUAUGUUUUUAAUGUAUUGCCAUUUGGUAUUUCAACAGCUGGUUACAUUUUCACUAAAGUUACUAGACCGGUAGUACAGUAUUUUAGACAAAAAGGUAUAAAAAUCAUCAUGUAUUUAGAUGAUGGCAUAGGUGGAGGGGAAAAUUACGAGAAAGCAUUAGAAAUAAGUAAUCAAGUGCACACAGAAUUGCAAAUGUUUGGGUUUCUUAUAGCAGAACAAAAAUGCAAUUGGCAACCUUCUCAGACAGUUAAAUGGUUAGGUUUAAUAUGGGACAUGUGUGUUGGUAAGGUUUAUGCGUCACCUGAACGAUUAGAUAAACUGAGAAAUUUUUUAAAACACUUUCUCGAGAAAAUUUCUUCAGGAAACUGCUUCUUUAAAGCGAGGCUAGUGGCUUCAUUAGUAGGUCAGAUAAUUUCUAUGCAAGCAGCUAUGGGUAGUGUGGUUAGAUUGAGAACUAGGAGUCUUUAUGAAUGCAUAAUGCAAAAAGCUAGUUGGGAUUCGCCAGUUUUAAUUAAAGAAAUGGCAUUUGAUGAAGUCGUUUUCUGGAAGGAAAACGUAGAGUUCCUCAAUGGUAAGGAACUGUUAGACGAGAAAGUCUGCACCAGUGUGGUGUACACCGAUGCCUCUGGUACAGGCUUCGGUGGGUAUAUAGUAGAGUAUGAAGAAAGCGAAGUAAUAGGUUCAUGGAAACCUGAUGAACAAGUAAAAAGUUCAACUUGGCGUGAACUUGAGGCAGUUUAUAGAAUGCUUAUGUCGAAAUUGAACUAUUUGAAGGGUCAAAAAGUUCUAUGGAGAACUGACAAUCAGAACGUUGUACACAUAUUAUGUAAAGGUAGUGUCAAGUCAGAUCUACAAACAAUCGCAAUAAAUAUUGCAGACAUAUGUACUAGGGAAGAAAUUCAGUUAAGCCCACAAUGGAUACCCAGAACUGAUAACGUUAAAGCUGAUUUAUUCAGUAAAACGUCAGAUUGUGAUGACUGGGAAAUCAAAGAAUAUAUUUUCAACCAUUUUGAUAAAAAGUGGGUAGAUAUUCAAUAGACAGAUUCGCGUCAGAUUACAAUAAAAAAUGCAUACGCUUUAAUUCAAAACAUUGGUGCACAGGUACCGAAGGUAUUGAUGCGUUUAAUUAUACAUGGGCAGGAGAGAACAAUUGGAUUGUUCCACCUCCUAGUUUGAUUGCAAAAUGUAUUUUAAAGAUACUACAAGAACACGUUACAUGUACAUUAGUAAUUCCCAAAUGGACCUCAGCAGCCUUUUGGCCAAUGUUGGUGACUGAGGGGGGGGGGGGGAUGGGGGGAACUGAAAACUUUUAUCGUAGAGUCAGAAAGUUUCUCCUCAAAUCAUAUUUUACGAGGAAGGGAAAAAAACGGUAUUUUUGGUAUGUACAAAUCUGUAUUUGACAUGAUGGCAUUGAAAAUUUGUUUUUAAUUCGUUUAAAAACACAUGUGUAUAGAACAUAACAGCUGUUACGAAUUGGAACAAUUAUUUUAUGCAACGAAAUAGAUAUUUAUUGUUUAAUUUAUUUUGACAGGGAUUCAACUAGGACAAACAAUAGAAGACGAAAUAUUGGCAGCUGGUGUGACGUCAGAUAACUUUUCAACUUUAGCCGAUCGAAUGGUACAUUUUUUAUUACAUUCUAGAAGUGACAAUACAACUAAAUUAUAUCAUGGUGCUUUUCGGAGAUUCGAGAAAUUCAUCAUUUCUGAAGGCGGAGUGGCAAUUCCAGCAGAACCUAUUCACGUGUCAUUGUAUUUAACCAAACUUUUAGACAGUGGUUCUUCGCACAGUGUUUUACAAACUGCUUUUUAUGCUAUUAAGUGGGCGCAUAAUAUAAACAAUUUCGAUGAUCCGACAGAUAAUAAUUUCGCCAAAAAUUUGUUAGAAUCCUCAAAAAGACAAGAGCAUAGUCCAAAAGUUAAGAAAGAUAUUAUUGACUCAGCUGAUAUAGUUAAGCUUUGUGAAAAGUAUAUUUAUAAUGAGGACAUAGGUGUAAUUAGAGAUUUAGUUAUGAUAGUGCUUGGUUACUCUGGUUUUUUACGAUUUAGUGAAAUCAGUAAUAUAAAAUACAAAGACGUUAAAUUUUGUGAAUCACAUAUCGAUAUUACUAUAGAAAAGAGUAAAACCGAUCAAUACAGAUUAGGUGACUCGAUAGUUAUUGCCAAAGGUCAAUCCGCAGCAUGUCCUUUUAUUUUACUAAAAAAGUAUUUAAAUUUAGCUAAGAUUAGUUCGUCAGAUGAAUUCCUAUUCAGACCUAUUUUUAGAUCAGGCAGAUAUUAUAGUUUGAUAUAUAAAAACAAACCACUUAGUUACACUAGGGACAGAGAAUGUAUUGUCAAUCGUUUGAAAGAAGUUUGUAAAAAUUUGAAUAUUGGUUUGCAUUCACUGAGAGCUAGUGGUGCUACAAAAGCAGCGAAUUCCAAUGUAAGCGACAGGUGUUGGAAACGUCAUGGUCGUUGGAAAAGCGACUCGGCAAAAGACGGGUAUGUCGCUGAUUCAUUAGAACAUAGAUUAGAAGUGACCAAGCAUUUAGGUAUUUGAUUUUUUAGGAAAAAAUGUUUUUUCUAGUGUUUGUAGUAACUAUUCUGCGCCCGUUCUUUGUGGAUUUCUAUAGUUCGUCCGUACGGCAAAUGCAAUAUAUAUUUGUUGAGUUAUUAUUUUGAUUGAUAUAGUUUGAAGUAUAGUUCAAUUUGUAUUUGGUAUACUGGUCAGUCAACAUUGAGUAUGUUUGGUAUAUCUAGUUUGGUAUAUGUAAAUACGUAUAUUUUUCUGCGUUUCGUAGUAUAGUAGAAAAAUAAUGUAUUGCACGGUUCAUCAAGACUAAGUGUAGUCACGUGUUCAGAAUGACCAAUGGUCAAGGUUUUUUAUGGUUUGGCGCCAAAUGUAUUGUCCGUGUUAAGGUCUUCAUUCUAGCCGUGGACGUUCGAUAGUAAACCACAAAUUACAAGUGUAUAUAUAAUUUAUUUAUAAGUAUGUUAUAAGCAGUGGCUGUUUAUUUUUGUAUUUGGUUUUUUAAGCGCUGGACUUGACGUUUUCUCUGGAAGUGGUGUCGGCAUUACCUCGAGUCACAGGUUUCCAUGAAUUAAGUUAUUUUUUAUGGUUUUUCCUGGGUGGCAUUCAUCACUAAUGACGGAGAUGAAGAUUCAAAGAAUAGAAUCUUUUAUAUUGUUUAUGAAAUAGACAAAUCUGUUAGUCUAAUUUAUCAUUUUGGAUUGAUGUAUUGUAAUAAAUAUGUAUCGUCAAAUAAUGUCAGAUUAUGUCAUAUUAAACGCCGGCUAGUUCGUCCGUACAGCAAAUGCAAUAUAUAUUUGUUGAGUUAUUAUUUAGAUUGAUAUAGUUUGAAGUAUAGUUCAAUUUGUAUUUGGUAUACUGGUCAGUCAACAUUGAGUAUGUUUGGUAUAUCUAGUAUGGUAUAGUAAAUACUGCCAUUCUAGAUAGUGUAACAGAAAGUGGAUUAGGAUGUUAUAUGGGGACAAUAGACAUUGCUACACCUACAUGUGCAGAUGACAUUUUAGUACUAGCAAACUUUGAAAGUGAACUACAGGGCAUUACUUUGACCUAG
rnacentral:sRNA from 1 species